rnacentral:misc_RNA from 1 species
UUUCCGUAGGUGAACCUGCGGAAGGAUCAUUACAGAGUUCAUGCCCUCACGGGUAGAUCUCCCACCCUUGAAUAUUUAUACCUUAGUUGCUUUGGCAGGCCGUGGAAACACCAUGGGCUCCGGCUUAUGCGUGCCUGCCAGAAGAAACAAACUCUGUUAUUAGUGAUGUCUGAGUACUAUAUAAUAGUUAAAACUUUCAACAACGGAUCUCUUGGUUCUG